rnacentral:rRNA from 1 species
UCAGUUCGGAUCGGAGUCUGCAACCCGACUCCGUGAAGCUGGAUUCGCUAGUAAUCGCGCAUCAGCCAUGGCGCGGUGAAUACGUUCCCGGGCCUUGUACACACCGCCCGUCAAGCCAUGGGGAGCCGGGAGUGCCUGAAGUCCGUGACCGCGAGGAGCGGCCUAGGGUAAGACCGGUGACUGGGGCUAAGUCGUAACAAGGUAAC